rnacentral:tRNA from 1 species
GGUGGCUCAGUGGUAGAGUGCUUGCCUUGUUGCAUGAGGCCUUAGGUUCAAUUCCUUAGCACCA